GACGAACGCUGGCGGCGUGCUUAACACAUGCAAGUCGAACGGAAAGGCCCUGCUUUUGUGGGGUGCUCGAGUGGCGAACGGGUGAGUAACACGUGAGUAACCUGCCCUUGACUUUGGGAUAACUUCAGGAAACUGGGGCUAAUACCGGAUAGGAGCUCCUGCUGCAUGGUGGGGGUUGGAAAGUUUCGGCGGUUGGGGAUGGACUCGCGGCUUAUCAGCUUGUUGGUGGGGUAGUGGCUUACCAAGGCUUUGACGGGUAGCCGGCCUGAGAGGGUGACCGGCCACAUGGGGACUGAGAUACGGCCCAGACUCGUACGGGAGGCAGCAGUGGGGAAUAUGGCACAAUGGGCGGAAGCGUGAUGCAGAAACGCCGCGUGCGGGAUGACGGCCUUCGGGUUGUAAACCGCUUUCGACUGUGACGAAGCGUGAGUGACGGUAAUGGGUAAAGAAGCACCGGCUAACUACGUG
rnacentral:rRNA from 1 species